UACCACACUAACAGACACCUAGACAAAAUGCAGUGGUGAUGCAAUGCAGAUAACAAAAUCUCUUUCUUACAGGCACACAAAUGUUCUGUCCACCCAAAUUUCUAUCACAGGGCAAGUACCACGAGGAGGCAGGCAACUCAAUCCGCUUAUAUGAGCUGCCAACGUGGAGUGCUGCACCGGGACAUCAAACAGGAAGACCGACUGCUGCCAACUGAUCUGCUUUUGCCUGCAGCGUGAUCCACAAAAGAGACUCGUUUUGGGCAAGAUUCUGCACCAUGAAUGGUUUAAGUGCACAAAUAUGAAGACAACUGGCAUAUAGUGGCCAUGUUCUCUGUCACAGCCAGCCCAGGUCUUGUCAUGUACAGUUGGCUCAUCAUUUUAUGGGCUUGCUCCAUUUUCAUCCUUGCAAGCCCCCCACCCAAAAUAAGAAAAAAUUAACAGUUAUGUUCUUAUACUCAGUUUUUUAGGUU